ensembl:lncRNA
UUUGAUGAACAACUUGGUAUUUAAUGUGAAUCUUAGGAGUUUGACACGUGUUGUCUGGGACAAAGCAACAACAUCAUCAAUACAACAAAACGCAACACAACACAACGCAACCCAACACAACACAACACAAAACAAGGCCUGGGGUGUGUCCUCAAGGUCUUCAGAGGCCCACAGACCUCCAGGGAGGACAGCCUCCAUUAACCAGAGUGUUGGCUGUUCCUAACAUUAGAAACUUCAUGAAUUCAGUCAUCACAAUCCACAAGCUGAGGCCCCAAUGAAGGGAAAUAGAAACAUGGAUCUAAUACGUUCUACUGGUUCCUAACGAGAAGAAACACCAACAGAGUGAGGCUGAGAUAAUGAGGCUGAGGUAAUGAGGCUGAGAUAAUGAGGCUGAGGUAAUUAGAGGUUUUGCUGAGUCAGGGUGAGGCUGAGGUCAUGAGAGGUUUUGCUGAGUCAGGGUGAGGCUGAGGUCAUGAGAGGUUCUGUUGAGUCAGGGUGAGGCUGAGAUAAUGAGGGGUUUUGCUGAGUCAGGGUGAGGCUGAGGUCAUGAGAGGUUCUGCUUAGUCAGGGUGAGGCUGAGAUAAUGAGGCUGAGGUAAUGAGAGGUUCUGCAGAGUCCGGAGCCAGCGGCAGCGGCCCACAUAUCAACGUUAGAGCAACAAUACGGGGUCGAAAGAGGAGAACCACAGAGAAUUAUGGAAUAUUAUGGGAUGUUCUGCAUUUAUGACGUUACAUUUUACCUCAACAAAUGAACAGUGUGUUUUCAGAUGUGUGUGUGUUAGUGUGUGCGUUACCCAUUCACUAGUACAACUACAAGCUCAACCAGCUUGGCAGUACAGGACACAGCCCAGAACACCUCUAUCGGGACCCUUGAGAGACUCUCAGACUCCCUGACGGUGAAAACAUCAGAACACACUUUGACCUGCUGGACCCGGCCAGAGGUCUCAAGUCUGAGGACGGAACGGGAUGUUUUUAACGCUGCUAUAAACAUAUCUGGAUCCGGACCCCAGCCUCUAAACAGCCCUCACCCUGACCCUAGCCUCCACACAGCCCUCACCCUGACCCUAGCCUCCACACAGCCCUCACCCUGACCCUAGCUUCCACGAAGCCCUCACCCUGACCCUAACCUCUCCCUAGCCCUUACCCUGACCCGAGCCUCCACACAGCCCUCACCCUGACACAAGCCUCUACACAGCCUUCUACAGAUAGCCUUAACGCUACUAAGAACCAGUUAGCUUACCUCCACUAAGAACAAGUUAGCUUAGCGCUAAUAAGAACCAGUUAGCCUACUGCUACUAAGAACCAGUUAGCUUACCUCCACUAAGAACUAUUUAGCUUACCUCCACUAAGAACCAGUUAGCUAAAUGCUACUAAGAACCAGCUAGCUUACCCCUACUAAGAACCAGUUAGCUUACCACUACUAAGAACCAGUUAGCUUACCUCUACUAAGAACCAGUUAGCUUACCUCCACUAAGAACCAGUUAGUUUACUGCUACUAAGAACCAGUUACCUUACUGCUACUAAGAACCAGUUAGCUUACUGCUACUAAGAACCAGUUAGCUUACUGCUACUAAGAACCAGUAACAACAUAUAACAUAAAUAUGAUCCUAAUAAUAAUAUUGUUCAAAGCAAUUAUUCGUUUUUUUGGGAUGGCAUUGCAGCACUACAACGAGGCGCUAACCACGGCUAGCUCAGCGCUAACCACGGCUAGCUCAGCGCUAACCACGGCUCAGCGCUCUUCAACUAGCCAAGCAGAGCUGUGCCGUGCAGUAGAGCUGCUCUGAACAUAAGGAACCGCGGUUCCACCUGGGGAAUCAUGGAUCCACCUGAGGAACCACCCUCCAUCUCGCCCUCCAUCUCAGGUAGAUAGUUAUAGAUAUAGGUAUAGAUAUAAAGAUAGAGAUAUAGUUAGAUAGGUAGAUAUAGAAAUACAUAUCGCUAUAAAGACAGAGAUAGAUAGAUAGAUAGAUAGAUAGAUAGAUAGAUAGAUAGAUAGAUAGAUAGAUAGAUAGAUAGAUAGAUAGAUAGAUAGAUAGAUAGAUAGAUAGAUAGAUAGAUAGAUGGUUGAUAGAUGGAUAUAUAUAGAUAUAGAUAGAUAUAGAAACAUAUAUAUAAAAAUAUAUAUAGAUAUAUAAUAGGUAGAUAUAGAUAGAGAGAUAUA